UGCCCCUAUAUCAGUGGGAAUGCUGUGUAGGCCAUGCCCCUAUAUCAGUGGGAAUGCUGUGUAGGCCAUGCCCCUAUAUCAGUGGGAAUGCUAUGUAGGCCAUGCCCCUAUAUCAGUGGGAAUGCUAUGUAGACCAUGCCCCUAUAUCAGUGGGAAUGCUGUGUAGGCCAUGCCCCUAUAUCAGUGGGAAUGCUAUGUAGGCCAUGCCCCUAUAUCAGUGGGAAUGCUAUGUAGGCCUAGUCCCUAUAUCAGUGGGAAUGCUAUGUAGGCCUAGCCCCUAUAUCAGUGGGAAUGCUAUGUAGGCCUAGCCCCUAUAUCAGUGGGAAUGCUGUGUAGGCCAUGCCCCUAUAUCAGUAGGAAUGCUGUGUAGGCCAUGCCUCUAUAUCAGUGGGAAUGCUGUGUAGGCCAUGCCCCUAUAUCAGUGGGAAUGCUACGUAGGCCAUGCCCCUAUAUCAGUGGGAAUGCUAUGUAGGCCAUGCCUCUAUAUCAGUGGGAAUGCUGUGUAGGCCAUGCCCCUAUAUCAGUGGGAAUGCUGUGUGGGCCAUGCCCCUAUAUCAGUGGGAAUGCUAUGUAGGCCAUGCCCCUAUAUCAGUGGGAAUGCUAUGUAGGCCAUGCCCCUAUAUCAGUAGGAAUGCUGUGUAGGCCAUGCCUCUAUAUCAGUGGGAAUGCUGUGUAGGCCAUGCCCCUAUAUCAGUGGGAAUGCUAUGUAGGCCAUGCCCCUAUAUCAGUGGGAAUGCUGUGUAGGCCAUGCUCCUAUAUCAGUGGGAAUGCUAUGUAGGUCAUGCCCCUAUAUCAGUAGGAAUGCUAUGUCGGCCAUGCCCCUAUAUCAGUGGGAAUGCUGUGUAGGCCAUGCCCCUAUAUCAGUAGGAAUGCUAUGUAGUUGUAGCCCCUAUAUCAGUGGGAAUGCUAUGUAGGCCAUGCCCCUAUAUCAGUAGGAAUGCUAUGUAGUUGUAGCCCCUAUAUCAGUGGGAAUGCUAUGUAGGCCAUGCCCCUAUAUCAGUAGGAAUGCUAUGUAGUCCUAGCCCCUAUAUUAGUAGAAAUGCUGUGUAGGCCAUGCCCCUAUAUCAGUGGGAAUGCUGUGUAGGCCAUGCCCCUAUAUCAGUGGGAAUGCUAUGUAGGCCAUGCCCCUAUAUCAGUGGGAAUGCUGUGUAGGCCAUGCCCCUAUAUCAGUGGGAAUGCUGUGUAGGCCAUGCCCC
ensembl:lncRNA